rnacentral:rRNA from 1 species
ACCUACGGGGCGCAGCAGUGGGGAAUAUUGCACAAUGGGCGAAAGCCUGAUGCAGCAACGCCGCGUGAAGGAAGAAGGCCUUCGGGUCGUAAACUUCUGUCCUUGGGGAAGAAGAACUGACGGUACCCAAGGAGGAAGCCCCGGCUAACUACGUGCCAGCAGCCGCGGUAAUACGGAGGAUGCGAGCGUUAUCCGGAUUUAUUGGGUUUAAAGGGUGCGUAGGCGGGCUUUUAAGUCAGCGGUAAAAAUUCGGGGCUCAACCCCGUCCGGCCGUUGAAACUGGGGGCCUUGAGUGGGCGGGAAGG